UAUAAGUCAGAGCUUGGACAGCAGCUCUCUCUGAUUGCAGGCUCUUUAGUUGGUGGAGUGUGUAUCGUAUCAUUGGUUGCUAUUGGCAUCAUCUGUACCAGGAGGAGGCAGUUGAAGGAGAGUGUGUACGGUGACAAGCUGCAGCAGUACAACGCAGGAGGAGAGGUGACAAUGAGGCCAGAUAUGUUCAGCGGGCCAACCCCUACUGUGACCUUUCCCACAAUGUCUGACGGUCAUAGUUCACCGGGGGUCAAGAUCUACAUUGACCCCUUCACCUAUGAGGACCCCAACGAGGCAGUAAGGGAGUUCGCCAAGGAAAUCGACCCCUCCUGUGUCAAAAUAGAGGAAGUCAUCGGAUCAGGUAGA